rnacentral:rRNA from 1 species
CCCUUAGAUGUUCUGGGCUGCACACGUGCUACACUGGCAGGUUCAGCGAGCUUCAUGCCCUGAUCUGAAAGGAAUGGGAAAUCUUUUCAAAACCUGCCGUGCUUGGGAUAGAUGUUUGCAAUUAUUCAUCUUCAACGAGGAUUGCCUUGUAAGCGCACGUCAUCAGCGUGCAUUGAAUACGACCCUGUAUUCUGUACACACCGCCCGUCGCUCCUACCGAUUGAAGUUUUCGGUGAGUUGACAGGAGGAUUUUUUUGAAACUGGUUCGCCAGUGGAUUUUAGAUCCAAAUGCCAACAAAUCGAUGGCUUUAGAGGAAGGAGAAGUCGUAACA